CCUACGGGUGGCUGCAGUGGGGAAUAUUGGACAAUGGGGGGAACCCUGAUCCAGCCAUGCCGCGUGUGUGAAGAAGGCCCUCGGGUUGUAAAGCACUUUCAGUGAGGAAGAACGCCUGGUGGUUAAUACCCAUCAGGAAAGACAUCACUCACAGAAGAAGCACCGGCUAACUCCGUGCCAGCAGCCGCGGUAAUACGGAGGGUGCGAGCGUUAAUCGGAAUUACUGGGCGUAAAGCGCGCGUAGGUGGCUUGAUAAGCCGGUUGUGAAAGCCCCGGGCUCAACCUGGGAACGGCAUCCGGAACUGUCAAGCUAGAGUGCAGGAGAGGAAGGUAGAAUUCCCGGGGUAGCGGUGAAAUGCGUAGAGAUCGGGAGGAAUACCAGUGGCGAAGGCGGCCUUCUGGACUGACACUGACACUGAGGUGCGAAAGCGUGGGUAGCAAACAGGAUUAGAUACCCUGGUAGUC
rnacentral:rRNA from 1 species